GCCUACAGACCCUAUAGAAGAACAGUUUCCUGUCCUAAAUGUGACCCGGUAUUAUAAUGCCAACGGGGAUGUAGUGGAAGAGGAGGAGAACUCUUGCACCUACUAUGAGUGCCACUACCCUCCCUGCACAGUGAUUGAGAAGCAGCUCCGGGAGUUCAACAUCUGUGGGCGCUGCCAGGUGGCCCGGUACUGCGGCUCCCAGUGCCAGCAGAAGGACUGGCCUGCCCACAAGAAGCACUGUCGGGAGAGGAAGCGUCCCUUCCAGCAUGAGCUUGAGCCAGAGCGAUGACGGGCAGGGGAGCCACACAUACUCACAGCCCCCGGGCUCUACCCUGGGCACAGCAGAGACAGACUGGUGGUUGAACCUGGAGGUGCCAAAAAAGCCAGCUGCGGGCCCAGGACAGCUGCCGUGAGACUCCCGAUGUCACAGGCAGUCUGUGUGGUUACAGCGCCCCUCAGUGUUCAUCUCCAGCAGAGACAACGGAGGAGGCUCCCACCAGGACGGUUCUCAUUAUUUAUAUGUUAAUAUGUUUGUAAACUCAUGUACAGUUUUUUUUGGGGGGGAGGCAAUGGGAAGGGUAGAAAUUACAAAUAGAAUCAUUUGCUGUAAUCCUUAAAUGGCAAACGGUCAGGCCACGUGACUAAAAACUGUCCUGUUGUCGAAGCUUCUCCCCUGGGCCGCCGGGAGCCCCGUGGAGCGCGGCCUGCACGGGAGUUGUGUCCACAAAGGCAAAGUAAAGGGGUGGAAUCAUC
rnacentral:lncRNA from 1 species